rnacentral:lncRNA from 1 species
GGGUCUCCAGCCUGCUGGCCGGCUCUGAAGAUUUAGGACUUGUUACUCCUCCCAAUAGUCCUGCAGAUGCCUCCAAGGAGUCCGAAAACAAAUCCGAAGUCAACGACAAGCAAUGAUGGCGAUGGCGAUCCUAGUUAAUAAAAAGGGGGGAGAUGUGGGCGGCAAGCCAUCCAGGUGCCAAGCCAAGAGACCGAGGGCAUGAGUUGUUCCAGUAUAAUAAAAUAUAUAAAACAACAAGAGUUAUACUAGAUCUAGAUCAUAGAUAUGAUUAUAUAUCAAUAUCAUUAAUCAUUAGUUUUUUCCAAAUUUAUUAUUCCAAUAUUAUAAUAUUAUAAUAAUCCUCCAAUAUUAUAAUUUAUUCCAAUAUUAUAAUAAUCUUCGCUGCAUAAUCAUAACCUAAGAAAAACCAGGCCAUACAGAGAUAGGAGCUGAGGGGACAUAGUGAGAAGUGACCAGAAGACAAGAGUGCGAGCCUUCUGUUAUGCCCAGACAGGGCCACCAGAAGGGCUCCUUGGUCUAGCAGUAACGCCAGUGUCUGGGAAGACGCCCCUUGCCGAGCGGACGGUGGUCUAGCGGUAGCCUCAGUGUCAAGGAAAACACCCGCUACUUAGCUGACCGGGAAAGGGAGUCUCCCUUUCCUUGGGGGAGUUUAGAGAAGACUCUACUCCUCCACCUCUUGUGGAGGGCCUGACAUCAGUCAGGCCCGCCCGCAGUUAUCCAGAGGCCUAACCGUCUCCCUGUGAUGCUGUGCUUCAGUGGUCACGCUCCUAGUCCGCCUUCAUGUUCCAUCCUGUACACCUGGCUCUGCCUUUUAGAUAACAAUAGCAAAUUAGUGAAAGUACUAAGUCUCUGAUAAGCAGAAAUAAUGGCAU